rnacentral:rRNA from 1 species
GACGAACGCUGGCGGCGUGCUUAACACAUGCAAGUCGAACGGAAAGGCCCUGCUUUUGUGGGGUGCGCGAGUGGCGAACGGGUGUGUAACACGUGAGUAACCUGCCCUUGACUUUGGGAUAACUUCAGGAAACUGGGGCUAAUACCGGAUAGGAGCUCCUGCUGCAUGGUGGGGGGUGGAAAGUUUCGGCGGUUGGGGAUGGACUCGCGGCUUAUCAGCUUGUUGGUGGGGUAGUGGCUUACCAAGGCUUUGACGGGUAGCCGGCCUGAGAGGGUGACCGGCCAAAUUGGGACUGAGAUACGGCCCAGACUCCUACGGGAGGCAGCAGUGGGGUAUAUUGCACAAUGGGCGGAAGCCUGAUGCAGCAACGCCGCGUGCGGGAUGACGGCCUUCGGGUUGUAAACCGCUUUCGCCUGUGACGAAGCGUGAGUGACGGUAAUGGGUAAAGAAGCACCGGCUAACUACGUG